AGCUGGAUAGCUCAGUUGGAAGAGCACGAGACUCUUAAUCUCAGGGUCCUGAGUUUGAGCCCCACAUUGGGCAA